GAAAGACGACUGAGGUGG
rnacentral:misc_RNA from 1 species